ensembl:lncRNA
CAGCUGAUGAAAAAUGUUCAGAGAAAUUUCUGUCGGUGCGAAACUACCUACUGUGAUUAUAGGGUUUCCUGGUGCGCUUGCCACAGACCUGCUGUAAUGAAACGAGCGUCUUUUGCUCCAAUCUGACAACAUCCGCGGGCAGAAAUGUGGAGUGAGGUGAAAAACCACACCAAAAUAGUUUUUCGCGGGGGAAACACAUCAGAGGGGGCUGUUCCAAUACACCCAUGGGUCCACUCUACAAAACAACACAGCAAUGGUAAGUGUGUCCAGUGUCCAACACACACACAAGCAAACACUGCAUAACCAUGGGUUCAAAAAUGUGUUAUAAUAAACCUUUCUAGGGUCUCAAAGCUCAACGGCCAACCCUCCUCCUUCACACAUGGACCCCUUGGCCAGAGGCAGUGGAAUCAUCCCAGGUGACACACACCCCUCACAUCCCAGGAAACACAUCACAAAAUCAAAAGUGAAGUGCAGACUUACUGGCCGUUUCCCCACAGAAUAGAAGGGUUAGAUGGCAGAAGGGUCAGUGGUGUGGGUCAUUCAGGAUUAUGGGUGGUGUGGGUCAUUCAGGUUUAUGGGUGGUGUGGGUCAUUCAGGUUUAUGGGUGGUGUGGGUCAUUCAGGUUUAUGGGUGGUGUGGGUCAUUCAGGAUUAUGGGUGGUGUGGGUCAUUCAGGAUUAUGGGUGGUGUGGGUCAUUCAGGUUUAUGGGUGGUGUGGG